AACGAACGCUGGCGGCGUGCUUAACACAUGCAAGUCGAUCGGUAACAGGUGUAGCAAUACAUGCUGACGAGAGGCGGACGGGUGAGGAACGCUUGGGAAUCUGCCUAUCAGCGGGGGACAACCCGGGGAAACUCGGGCUAAUACCGCAUACGCUCUACGGAGGAAAGCCGGGGACCGCAAGGCCUGGCACUGAUAGAUGAGCCCAAGUCGGAUUAGCUAGUUGGCGGGGUAACGGCCCACCAAGGCGACGAUCCGUAGCUGGUCUGAGAGGACGAUCAGCCACACCGGAACGGAGACACGGUCCGGACUCCUACGGGAGGAAGCAGUGGGGAAUAUUGGACAAUGGGGGAAACCCUGAUCCAGCGACGCCGCGUGGGUGAAGAAGGCCUGCGGGUUGUAAAGCCCUUUCGGUAGGGAAGAAAUCUCUUGCUCUAACACGGCAGGAGUUUGACUUAACCUACAUAAGAAGCACCGGCUAACUCUGUGCCAGCCGCCGCCGUAAAAC
rnacentral:rRNA from 1 species